UGUGUGUGUGUGUGUGUGUGUGUGUGUGUGUGUGUGUGUGUGUGUGUGGUGAGGAGCUUCAAGAGGAUUGAGGCGGAGAUGAACUAUAGUGUGCCGGCUGUUUUCUCUGUUUUGAGGUUGACAUGCAUUUCCUUUCCUAUUUUCUUGGUUGUCUUGUUUGCUUCAGUUUUCUAUCAAAUCUGAGAGAAAACCUUCGUUUAAUAAAAACAUUUAUUAGUGCUCACAUGCUAAAAACAAUCUGUGCUUACAUGAUAAAGUGAUUUAGCACAGAUGCUAAAAAUAAUUUGUGCUUACAUGAUGAAGUGAUUCAGCAUAUAGGGGAUCCAUCAGAGAUGGAUACGUGAUUAUGGGCCUAGUAAGAAGGUAAUGAUCCUUGUUAUAGGAAGAGAAUGAUUGUUUUGUUUUUCUUCAUGAAGGUAUGUAGCAGGACGUCCUUAUCAAGCCAAUAGAGAUCAGGUUCAGAGCCUUGAUCAUGGCAACUUGGAAAGUAGGAAUUGAAAGUAAAUCCAUCAUAUUUAUCCAGUAAGUGUUUCUGUAGAGAUUCUUGGCCAGCUUCACAAGCAUUUAUAAAUCAGCAAACAAAAUAUUUAUUUUCCCUAAGAAGACUACAUGAUAGCGUCGCACAUAUUUGAUUGCCUUUUGGAUUAGUGCCUAGCUUACAUGCUUGGUGGAGUAAGCGUACAUCAAAGAAAGGGUGAGCUGAACCAUGCUCAGUAUAUAAAAUACACUAAGCUCACUCAAUACUCUAAUUUUCAGGAGAAAAAUUGGCAAGUGCAAGAGGAAGGGGUAAAGAUGGUGGGGUCUAGAGGAGAAAAAUGCUGUCAAGAGGUCCAUAUCAUGGCCAUCUAAUGACUAGCAAGAGGGUGCCGUAAGGGGAAUUGGUCAGGUCACAGCUGUUUGGUUCCUUGGGUCUGCACUCUGCAGCACUUGGUGUCACCCAAGGUAAGUUCACAGCAUCAAAUUCCUCUCUUUUUUCACUAGUAUAUUUAGAGAACACAAGUUUUUAGAGAUUUCAGUAGAGCAAAGGACAAAUUCAGAGAACAGUUUUCAAGCCGAACUGAAAUAAAUCAUGCUAGCUUGAUAGCAUGCUAGUUCUCCGGAUCAUACAGCCAAGUACUUCAUAUUUCCACAAACGAACACAAAAUCUGAACCAAAACUCAUGUUACAGUUUUGUAGAUCUGAAAUUUCUCAGUGAAUGCCUCAUGGCUACUGUUUUGUACAAGUUCUGUUAUAUACAUCUACAUAAAUUGGUACAAAAAAGAGUGUGUUAUCUUUUGAAAGUAAAUUAAUUAAGUGGAUCUGCUACUAUUCUGUUUUUGUAUGAUUUGGUUCAUUGUGCUAUUUCUCUGCUGUGAUGUACCUAGAUAUGAGAAAUGGCUGUUUCUUUUUAUGUAUGUGUGCUAUAUAUAUCUAGUGCCCUUGCUUUGUUUGCGCGGUCGAUUGAAGAUGGGGAGAAGUGGAUUCACGGAUGAAGGUGGCGCAUCGAUGAUGUCAUGGCUUCAUGAUUCCGCUUCGUGCACGUCGAGCCAGCAGAAGUGGUACGACGCUGCAUUUCAAGACCCAGCUUAUUUACGCUACCUAGAAGGUGAUUUGCCCAGGAACGCAGUGGAGGCAGAAGCUGAAGUAGCCGCAUUGGAAGAAAAGUUACUUCAAGAGAAGAGGAAGAACAAGAGCUGAGCGAUGAAUGUUUGGCAUUUGAGUUUGAGUUGGCAGCGCAAGAUCAAGUAAUUGAGGAGCUGGAAGGGAAGUUGGAAGCUGAGAAGAAGAAGAAUGAAGACCUCAAGUCCUUUGCAUUUUCUGGCAUUAGUGUAGCUGUCACCAUAUUAGCAGUGUUGGCCUGUGUGUAUGAUCUGUAAGAUUUGAUCUUGUUGUCUGUGAACUGUGAAGUUGUGUUCUGUUAGAUUUGAUCAUGUAGCUGUUUGAACUGGCCUGUGUGUAUUCAUGUUAUCAGUGAAGUGAAAAUUUGACACCUUUUCAAAA